rnacentral:rRNA from 1 species
AGAGUUUGAUCCUGGCUCAGGAUGAACGCUGGCGGCGUGCUUAACACAUGCAAGUCGAACGAUGAUCCCAGCUUGCUGGGGGAUUAGUGGCGAACGGGUGAGUAACACGUGAGUAACCUGCCCUUAACUCUGGGAUAAGCCUGGGAAACUGGGUCUAAUACCGGAUAUGACUCCUCAUCGCAUGGUGGGGGGUGGAAAGCUUUAUUGUGGUUUUGGAUGGACUCGCGGCCUAUCAGCUUGUUGGUGAGGUAAUGGCUCACCAAGGCGACGACGGGUAGCCGGCCUGAGAGGGUGACCGGCCACACUGGGACUGAGACACGGCCCAGACUCCUACGGGAGGCAGCAGUGGGGAAUAUUGCACAAUGGGCGAAAGCCUGAUGCAGCGACGCCGCGUGAGGGAUGACGGCCUUCGGGUUGUAAACCUCUUUCAGUAGGGAAGAAGCGAAAGUGACGGUACCUGCAGAAGAAGCGCCGGCUAACUACGUGCCAGCAGCCGCGGUAAUACGUAGGGCGCAAGCGUUAUCCGGAAUUAUUGGGCGUAAAGAGCUCGUAGGUGGUUUGUCGCGUCUGCCGUGAAAGUCCGGGGCUCAACUCCGGAUCUGCGGUGGGUACGGGCAGACUAGAGUGAUGUAGGGGAGACUGGAAUUCCUGGUGUAGCGGCGAAAUGCGCAGAUAUCAGGAGGAACACCGAUGGCGAAGGCAGGUCUCUGGGCAUUAACUGACGCUGAGGAGCGAAAGCAUGGGGAGCGAACAGGAUUAGAUACCCUGGUAGUCCAUGCCGUAAACGUUGGGCACUAGGU